AGGACGAACGCUGGCGGCGUGCUUAACACAUGCAAGUCGAGCGAGGCCUCUCCUUCGGGAGAGUGUCCUAGCGGCGAACGGGUGAGUAACACGUGGGCAACCUGCCCCUAGCACUGGGAUAACCCCGGGAAACCGGGGCUAAUACCGGAUACGACUUCAGAGGGCAUCCUCCGAAGUGGAAAAGGUUCACUGGCUAGGGAUGGGCCCGCGGCCUAUCAGCUUGUUGGUGGGGUAAUGGCCCACCAAGGCGACGACGGGUAGCUGGCCUGAGAGGGCGACCGGCCACACUGGGACUGAGACACGGCCCAGACUCCUACGGGAGGCAGCAGUGGGGAAUAUUGCACAAUGGGCGAAAGCCUGAUGCAGCGACGCCGCGUGAGGGAUGACUGCCUUCGGGUUGUAACCUCUUUCAGCAGGGACGAAGCGAAGUGACGGUACUGCAGAAGAGCACCGGCCAACUACGCGCCAGCAGCCGCGGUAA
rnacentral:rRNA from 1 species